AACGAACGCUGGCGGCAUGCCUAACACAUGCAAGUCGAACGAGAUCUUCGGGUCUAGUGGCGCACGGGCGCGUAACGCGUGGGAAUCUGCCCUUUGGUUCGGAAUAACAGUUGGAAACGACUGCUAAUACCGGAUGAUGACGAAAGUCCAAAGAUUUAUCGCCAGAGGAUGAGCCCGCGUAGGAUUAGCUAGUUGGUGUGGUAAGGGCGCACCAAGGCGACGAUCCUUAGCUGGUCUGAGAGGAUGAUCAGCCACACUGGGACUGAGACACGGCCCAGACUCCUACGGGAGGCAGCAGUGGGGAAUAUUGGACAAUGGGCGAAAGCCUGAUCCAGCAAUGCCGCGUGAGUGAUGAAGGCCUUAGGGUUGUAAAGCUCUUUUACCCGGGAUGAUAAUGACAGUACCGGGAGAAUAAGCUCCGGCUAACUCCGUGCCAGCCGCCGCGGUAA
rnacentral:rRNA from 1 species